rnacentral:lncRNA from 1 species
AGUGAAGCAACAACUAUUUUGAAAGGAUUUGAAGGCAUUGGAUGCUUGUUCUUCAAAGAGCGUUGACAAAGUACAAUUGUACGAAGUGUACAACCACUACCUCCACUACUCGGUUUUUGUCUCUGCUACAAGACAAGAAAAACAGCUCUGCCUGCAACUAUGUUCCCUCUCAAUUGGAAUGGAUUUGAAAUUGAUCCUUCAUAGGACAAUAACCAUAUCAGGCAAAAGAUCAUUGAUGAUUGAUCAAAGCUUCAAACGACUCUAUUUUGAUGUGCUGGCAAUUCACAACGUCUCUUUCACACCUCUAUAUAAAAGAGUGAAGACUUAUAGAUUGACAAGGACUCAACAACAAUUUUC